CGGGGGGGCGUGCCUUAUACAUGCAAGUCGAGCGGACAGAUGGGAGCUUGCUCCCUGAUGUUAGCGGCGGACGGGUGAGUAACACGUGGGUAACCUGCCUGUAAGACUGGGAUAACUCCGGGAAACCGGGGCUAAUACCGGAUGGUUGUCUGAACCGCAUGGUUCAGACAUAAAAGGUGGCUUCGGCUACCACUUACAGAUGGACCCGCGGCGCAUUAGCUAGUUGGUGAGGUAACGGCUCACCAAGGCGACGAUGCGUAGCCGACCUGAGAGGGUGAUCGGCCACACUGGGACUGAGACACGGCCCAGACUCCUACGGGAGGCAGCAGUAGGGAAUCUUCCGCAAUGGACGAAAGUCUGACGGAGCAACGCCGCGUGAGUGAUGAAGGUUUUCGGAUCGUAAAGCUCUGUUGUUAGGGAAGAACAAGUGCCGUUCAAAUAGGGCGGCACCUUGACGGUACCUAACCAGAAAGCCACGGCUAACUACGUGCCAGCAGCCGCGGUAAUACGUAGGUGGCAAGCGUUGUCCGGAAUUAUUGGGCGUAAAGGGCUCGCAGGCGGUUUCUUAAGUCUGAUGUGAAAGCCCCCGGCUCAACCGGGGAGGGUCAUUGGAAACUGGGGAACUUGAGUGCAGAAGAGGAGAGUGGAAUUCCACGUGUAGCGGUGAAAUGCGUAGAGAUGUGGAGGAACACCAGUGGCG
rnacentral:rRNA from 1 species